AGGUAACAACAUCUUCAGUGAAUAAAGACAGUAAUGUUGAAGAGCAAGUUUGGCACUUCCUUGGCAAAUGAAUGGAGGUUUUGAAGUUUUGCCAUCAAGAUUUCAGCCUGUAAGGAACUCUCUUAAAUGCAAGAAAUAAGCAGGUCUAUAAGUAUUUGCUAACUUUAUGUUGAAAUUUCAUUGACAUUUUUGAAAUAUGCAAUAUGUAAAUAAAUAAUUUUUUGAUUUGUCUCCUCUGGAUAUUUAUUGAUAUAUAAAAAGAAAAGAUUUGGCUUAAUUUCAUAGGAGGAAUCUGGGGACAUUGUUUUGAAGAAAUAAUGAUUUUAGUAGCUUGUGUGUCUAUAGAUUAAAUGUAAAAAUCACCAACUCAAUUCAUCAAUAAAAUGUUUACAGAU